UACGUAGGGCGCAAGCGUUGUCCGGAAUUAUUGGGCGUAAAGAGCUCGUAGGCGGUCUGUUACGUCCGCUGUGAAAUCCCAGGGCUUAACCCUGGGCUUGCAGUGGAUACGGGCAGACUAGAGGUAGGUAGGGGAGAAUGGAAUUCCCGGUGUAGCGGUGAAAUGCGCAGAUAUCGGGAGGAACACCGGUGGCGAAGGCGGUUCUCUGGGCCUUACCUGACGCUGAGGAGCGAAAGCGUGGGGAGCGAACAGG
rnacentral:rRNA from 1 species